rnacentral:rRNA from 1 species
GAGUUUGAUCAUGGCUCAGAUUGAACGCUGGCGGCAGGCCUAACACAUGCAAGUCGAGUGGAUGAAGAGAGCUUGCUCUCUGAUUCAGCGGCGGACGGGUGAGUAAUGCCUAGGAAUCUGCCAAAAAAAAAGGGGACAACGUCUCGAAAGGGACGCUAAUACCGCAUACGUCCUACGGGAGAAAGCAGGGGACCUUCGGGCCUUGCGCUAUCAGAUGAGCCUAGGUCGGAUUAGCUAGUUGGUGAGGUAAUGGCUCACCAAGGCAACGAUCCGUAACUGGUCUGAGAGGAUGAUCCAGUCACACUGGAACUGAGACACGGUCCAGACUCCUACGGGAGGCAGCAGUGGGGAAUAUUGGACAAUGGGCGAAAGCCUGAUCCAGCCAUGCCGCGUGUGUGAAGAAGGUCUUCGGAUUGUAA